GUGUGAGCCCGUGUGCCCGGCCAGUAGGGUGGAUCUUAAAGGAGAAACAAGAGGUGGAACAAGGACGAAAGGGAAUUCAAUUUGCUGAGUUUUUUGGGGAAAGCUGAGAAGCGUGUUCACUUUCCUAGCCAAUGUAAUUAGGUAAACUCCUCCAGGGCAGGACCUGACUCUUCAGAGGAAUUUUUUAAUCCCCCUCCCCAGAAGUGCCCACGUCAAGGCCAUAGUAGAGAAGGAGCUCAAGAGCAAUCCCUAAGCAACCACGCUUGGAAGCAUCCUGCAACAGAGGGAUUUGUUCCAGACUCAGAUUUAAUCCACUAUUACCUUUUCGUAAGACAAGUGUUGUCUGAAGGAGUCUGUGUGUAAUUUUGAGACAAAAGGAUUGCAGAACUCAGCUCCCAGGUUGUCUCAUAUCUGAUUCUUCGAAAGAGGAAAAGAAGCGAACUCUUCUGCACAAUAGCUGAGCAGAUAGGAGAGAAAAAGCUUGAAGAUUCACAGUGGAGCAAGGCUAAUUGGAGCCUUCCUCAGAGCAGCUCAACUAUCCCAGUUUUACCUAUCCCAUUCCUUGCCAUUCCCACUUGUAAUUCUGUCUUGGCAAGAACACCAUACUGAAGGUUCUUAAAGCAGUUUGUAGACUUUAAUUAGUUCUGUGGAAAGUCAGUCAAAGCUCAGCCUUCAUUCUGCCAACAGAGACAACAGUGGUGGGUGUGGAAGGAAGGCAAGAAGAAGAUGGACACCCAGAGCAGUUGUGCAACUUACUGAAGGCCAUGUGGAUAGGAGGAACUGGGUUUAAAACCCCUGAGUCUUGAUAAAAGUGUCUUAGCCUUCUAGAUUCCUAAACAGGUAGUGGGCUCAUCCUACUAACCUACUUUGCUAGGGUGUUGUUGAUGAAUGCUUAUAAACCCUGUCCUAGAUGAUAGGUUUGGAAGAUUGUUAAAGAAAGCAUGUCAUUAAGUCCCUACUCACCCCCUCCUUGACAAAUAGCCCUGGAGGGAAAUGAAUAUUAGCCAGAAUCGUAGGGCCUCCACUUCAAUGGAAUGAACUGAGAUUCAACAACAAGAGAAAUGUUCCAACAGUGAGGGAAAUCAACAAUGUGCUGGGGGUGAAGGGUAGGGGUUGGGAAGGCCUAAACAGGUGACCAUUGCCAGACAGCCCAGACAAGAUCAUCACAGAAUAGCUGAUUCCCAUUAGACACUGUGGGUGAUCAUUAUCUUAAAAUUCAGGACACUAUUUUUGUAGUAGUUUCCCUUCCUCUCUUUGUAAGAGCAGAAGACCUCUCUGGGGCCUAUCACAAGACAAGCGGGUGUUUGCAAAUGAGGGACGUACUUUGAGACUGAAUUGCUCUGUGCUUCUCUAAAAGACAUGGUUAAGAGUUUGGGCGCUGAUGUUAGAGACUGAGAUUAAAAUCCUUCCUUGCCACUUCCAUCAGUAUAAAUUUGGAUAAGUUUCUUAACUUCUCUAAGCCUUGAUUUUCUCACCUAUAAAAUGGGCCUAAUAAUAGUGCCUAACUUAGAGGUUUGUUGUAAAGGUUAAAUGCAAUUAUUCAGGUAAAGCCUUAAUGGAGCCUGAUAUGUAGUAAGCACUCAAUCCAUUUUAUCUACUGACUCUUUUCUCUGUGUGGGUUACCCACUUUGGAGAUUGUCCCCAGUAAUUUCUUUGGUCAAGUCUUGAUCUCCCUGGCCCCUUGGCUGUCUUCUCCCACCAUGAUCAGUGAGAAGUUGAGGAGCACUAAUACCAAAUUCUUUUUCAUGUUAGUUAGGAGAAAGCAGAAUUACGAAGGUCAACCUGCUGGUGUAAAAAAAUAUUACAUAGAUUAGCCCUGCUCUACAUAUUAGAUAUGUUCUCAAAAUGCCUAAGUGGCCUUUUUUUUUUUUUUUAAUUUAAGUUCUAGGGUACAUGUGCACAACGUGCAGGUUUGUUACAUGUGUAUACAUGUGCCAUGUUGGUGUGUGGCACCCAUUAACUUGUCAUUUACAUUAGGUAUAUCUCCUAAUGCUAUCCCUCCCACCCCCACCCCCUGGCAGGCCCUGGUGUGUGAUGUUCCCCACCCUGUGUCCAUGUGUUCUCGUUGUUCAAUUCCCACCUAUGAGUGAGAACACACGUGUUUGGGUUUUUGUCCUUGCGAUACUUUGCCAAGAAUGAUGGUUUCCAG
rnacentral:lncRNA from 1 species